GAUGAACGCUGGCGGCGUGCCUAAUACAUGCAAGUCGAGCGAACUGAUUAGAAGCUUGCUUCUAUGACGUUAGCGGCGGACGGGUGAGUAACACGUGGGCAACCUGCCUGUAAGACUGGGAUAACUUCGGGAAACCGAAGCUAAUACCGGAUAGGAUCUUCUCCUUCAUGGGAGAUGAUUGAAAGAUGGUUCCGGCUAUCACUUACAGAUGGGCCCGCGGUGCAUUAGCUAAUUGGUGAGGUAACGGCUCACCAAGGCAACGAUGCAUAGCCGACCUGAGAGGGUGAUCGGCCACACUGGGACUGAGACACGGCCCAGACUCCUACGGGAGGCAGCAGUAGGGAAUCUUCCGCAAUGGACGAAAGUCUGACGGAGCAACGCCGCGUGAGUGAUGAAGGCUUUCGGGUCGUAAAACUCUGUUGUUAGGGAAGAACAAGUACGAGAGUAACUGCUCGUACCUUGACGGUACCUAACCAGAAAGCCACGGCUAACUACGUGCCAGCCGCCGCGGUAAAAC
rnacentral:rRNA from 1 species